rnacentral:rRNA from 1 species
UACGUAGGGUGCAGGCGUUAAUCGGAAUUACUGGGCGUAAAGCGUGCGCAGGCGGUUUCUUAAGUCAGAUGUGAAAGCCCCGGGCUUAACCUGGGAACUGCGUUUGAAACUGGGAAACUCGAGUGUGGCAGAGGGGGGUGGAAUUCCACGUGUAGCAGUGAAAUGCGUAGAUAUGUGGAGGAACACCGAUGGCGAAGGCAGCCCCCUGGGUUAACACUGACGCUCAUGCACGAAAGCGUGGGGAGCAAACAGG